GCAAAAAUAAACAGUUCAGAACGCCAGUUUGGAACCAGUAUCAGGAAGCAGUUGGAUUUUCUGAUGCAAAGGGGAUUUUUGCUUCUGCCUGAGAACAGCCGAGAUUAUGUCAUAAGAAAGGGGCAGAAGAAGCAUCACCAACUCUAAGGAACCAAAGUCUCUCCAGCCACCAAAAUGAAUGCAGCUGCCACUUAGGGGAAGUGGACAAGGACAGAACCACCCAGAGAUGAUGGUGAGAAAAGGCAGAAGGCCUGGGAGCUGGAAAAUGACUCCAUGGAGUAAAAGAUCACAGCAUCCUUUGGGACAAGACCGAUGUUCAUGACAAGAGGAAAGAAAUCCAAGUAAAUCAAAAGGAACAGAAACUAGAAAUAUACAGGCAUACUUGUGGCUGGAGUUAUUCCACUACUUGUACAUUAUGUGGCUUACCUCAACAUGUGGAAAAAUACAGUGCAAUGGUGCAUGCCUGUAAUCCCAACACUUUGGGAGGCCGAGGCAGGAGGAUCACUUGAGCCCAGCGUUUGAGAUCAACAUAGCAAAAUCCCGUUUCUACAGAAAAAAAAAAAUUUGCUGCAUGUGGUGGUACACAUCUGUGUUCCCAGCUACUCAGGAGGCUGAAGUGGGAGGAUCACUUGAGGCUGGAGGCAGAAGUUGCAAUGAGCUGAGAUCUAGCCACUGCACUCCAGCCUGGGUGACAGAUUGAAACCCUGUCUCAAAAUAAACAACAAAGAAAACUUCGUCUCCUGCAGGAAGCUAUCAUAAUCCUGACUGCAAGCCACCUAUUUGAAACUUAUUUGAGUUAGAUCUUACGUUAUAUUUAUUUGACCUUUUUCAUCUGUCCAGUUUUCUUCUUGAGUUUAUUCAGUUACCUAAAGAAACUGAAAAUUACUUGUAGAUAGAAAUCACAUUUCAUAAUUUGCUUAUAAUUCCCCUCAGGCCUUCUGCAUUUUAUGCAUAUUGAACAUUACACAAUUUAAUGAAUGGAUCAUUGGAAAAUCUCUCAUUAUGUACACGAUUAUAGAUGCAAUACAUUUUCAUAAGUUAUAUAAUUGUUUUAUUUAUUUUUACAAUUAAGGCUGAAGAUUGAGGUCUAUAUGCACUAAUCUAUUCUUGAUGCAAUGGUUUAUUAAAAUGCCCUUUUAAAUUAUAGUAAGUUUUUGCAUUGAAAUUGGUUUGUCCUUGCUUAACAGAUUCGAUCAUUAAGAACAGUAAAGAGUUUCUCUCACUGAAAUCAUUAAUACAUUUACUUAUACAGAGAUAGAUAGAUAGGUGCUGGCAUAUACUUACAAGCUUAUGAAUAACACAGUUAGUUGCUUCACAUUGACUCAUUUCAGAAAUGUCACUGUAAGUCACAAAAUAUUUUGUGAAAUGAUUGUAGUAUACUUUCGGCUACAACACUGAGUCUGUUAUACCUGAGAAGAAAUUAGACUCUGUGGGGGGAAAAAGACAGAAAAAUUUCCAAAAUCAAAUUUUUAACACCAGGGUUGCUGUGAGCCUUACCCCAGGGGGUGCCGUUUGUGGCAUGGUCUGUGGAGUUAAACAGUGUAGGCUAUGUGGUUUUAUAUGGCAGCCCUGCAGAAACCAGAGAGUAUACAAAAAGGUAUCAUAAAAUUUUGAACUUUAGUGCCACUGCUCAGUUAAGUAGUCUUCAAACUCUUAUGGAUAUUUAGUCAAUCUGUUGUAAUCCAUGAUGUUAGAAUGUACAAUGGUCCUUACCAAUCAUUUUAUUUGGUAGAAAAGAAAAAUAAGAUAUAUCAAUGAGAAGUAAAUUAUAUAUUUAAAAUACAUAUACAUAACAUAGAAUUAAGAAAUAAAGCACAAAAUAUAUGACAAGCCUCUAAAUAUUAAGUACUUUUCAUAGUCUAAAUUUCUACUACUAUACCGUAACUAAGGGAGGAGGCCACCCCUCAUAUUGUCUUAUGCCCAAUUUCUGCCUCCAAAGAAAAAAAAAAGUGAAAACUAAAAGGCAGAAAUGACACCCACAGGAAGACAGCCCGGCGCCACACCCUGGGCCUAGUAGUUAAAGACUGACCCCUGACCUAAUCGGUUAUGUUAUCUAUAGAUUACAGACAUUGUAUGGAAAAGCACUGUGAAUAUCCCUGUCCUGUUCCGUUCUAAUUACCAGUGCAGGUGCAUGCAGCCCCCAGUCACAUACCCUCUGCUUGCUCAAUUGAUCACGACCCUCUCACACAGACCCCCUUAGAGUUGUAAGCCCUUAAAAGCGUCAGGAAUUGCUCACUCAGGGAACUCGGUUUUUGGAGACAUGAGUCUGCUGAUGCUCCUGACUGAAUAAAGCCCU
ensembl:lncRNA LINC01602 long intergenic non-protein coding RNA 1602